rnacentral:piRNA from 1 species
GAAAAAUGUUUGGCCGUGACCGA